UUAUUUUUCAUUUUGUAAUCGUUUCAGCAUUGCGGCGUAGGAACGAGUUUUCGAUUUAUUUACUGAUGCAAUUUGGAAAUGUAACUUGUGUUCAACGAAGAACGCUUAGGGAUUAUUGUGAAAAUUGCGUUUAAUGCUUAAAUUGGAUAUGUGUGUUAUGUCUCGUCUUAAAUGGAAGCGAGUAAUGAUGCAUAUUAUAUUCGGAAAGCUGGAGACAGUGAAAGCUUAGUUGGAAGCUUUGAGAGAUUCGAACCUCUGCAUUGAUGACAGAAAAUUUGUUAUCAACCAAACUACUAUAGUAUACUUUAAAUUGAAUUAUUUCACACACCCAUAGGUAUA